CGUCCAGAAAAUAAAUGAAAAAAAAAACCCUAAAAAAUGUUUUGAUAUUUUUGAUGAAGAAGACUCGAGGUGGCUCUGGAGGGAGGAAUUAUACCCAGAGCCCGCCUCCCCAGCCUAAAGCCCGACUCAAAGAGCCCGUAUCCCGCAGCUCAGAAUCCGCAUCCCGCAGCCCAAACGGAAAUCUGAUACUACAUCAUAAAACUGUAGUAGGACUAGUCGGAAAAGUAGCUAUUUAAUUGAUAAGAAAUCAUAGUUAUUUGUUAAGUAUAUGUACAUAUAUGAAGAUUAAUAAUUUUUGAAAGGGUAUAUAAACUUCAUUUUUGGUUUUACGUUACUCUUGUUUUACAUUACUGUAUUCUACGCCCGCAAUCACCAUCCCAGAGCCCCCGUCACCAGCUUUACUAUCUCAAAAGCAGCCAAGCACUAUGGAAACAACACUUAUUGCCGCUGUAAAGGACCACCCAUGUCUGUACGACAGAAGUGUCCACGUGCGCCAACACAAGGACCGGCGGCAACAGGCAUGGGCGGAAGUUGGGGCGGCGUGCCAAACCUCGCGUAAGUAUGAAGAAAAAUUGGUUGUGUAUGUAUGUAAUAAUGCAAUUCUUAUAAUUUUGCAGCCAGAAAGUGCAAAAAAAGGAGGUCGCAGCUGCGCCACCAAUUCAACAAGGAGGUGGACAGAGUAGACUCGAGGUGGCCGUGGAGGGAGAGUCUGCGGUUUUUGGAGGGGUUAGUGCACCGCAGGUAAGUGAAUCUUAUUGUUAAUUUUUAUUGUAAAAUAAUUAUUUUAUAUUUUGCAUUUUCAGGCAACGCGCGAGCACACCGGUGGAGGACGGCCAGGAGGAGCUGUCUGCAGCGUUUGCGGGGGUAAUCGUGGCGUCCCCCAGCAGCAGCCCAGAGCCCACGGACGAGAUCCCCACGGCGGCGUUUUUGGACCUGCAGAAGGCGCUCUUUCUCCGGCUGCCGACCAGGGAGAAGAGGGACGAACUGGAGGCGGCCUUUUUAAGGUUCGGCCUUAACUUUGUAAACCGUCCA